GACGAACGCUGGCGGCGUGCCUAAUACAUGCAAGUCGAGCGGAUCUUUUGGGAGCUUGCUCCCAAAAGAUUAGCGGCGGACGGGUGAGUAACACGUGGGCAACCUGCCUAUAAGACUGGGAUAACUUCGGGAAACCGGAGCUAAUACCGGAUACGUUCUUUUUUCGCAUGAGAGAAGAUGGAAAGACGGCUUCUAGCUGUCACUUAUAGAUGGGCCCGCGGCGCAUUAGCUAGUUGGUGGGGUAAUGGCUCACCAAGGCGACGAUGCGUAGCCGACCUGAGAGGGUGAUCGGCCACACUGGGACUGAGACACGGCCCAGACUCCUACGGGAGGCAGCAGUAGGGAAUCUUCCGCAAUGGACGAAAGUCUGACGGAGCAACGCCGCGUGAACGAAGAAGGCCUUCGGGUCGUAAAGUUCUGUUGUUCGGGAAGAACAAGUACCAGAGUAACUGCUGGUACCUUGACGGUACCUAACCAGAAAGCCACGGCUAACUACGUGCCAGCAGCCGCAGUAAAAC
rnacentral:rRNA from 1 species